rnacentral:rRNA from 1 species
GACGAACGCUGGCGGCGUGCUUAACACAUGCAAGUCGAACGAAGUGGCGAACGGGUGAGUAACGCGUAAUCAACCUGCCCUUCAGCGGGGGACACCAGUUGGAAACGACUGCUAAUACCGCAUACUGAAGGAGGGGAUUGCGUCUGAGUAGCUAGUGGGAGGGGUAACGGCUCACCAAGGCGAUGAUCAGUAGCCGGUCGGAGAGGAUGAACGGCCACAUCGGGAAGGAGAAACGGCCCAGACUCCUACGGGAGGCAGCAGUGGGGAAUCUUACGAAAUGGACGAAAGUCUGACGGAGCAACGCCGCGUGAGUGAUGACGGCCUGCGGGUUGUAAAGCUCUGUUAAUCGGGACGCGGUACCGGAAUAGAAAGCCACGGCUAACUACGUGCCAGCAGCCGCGGUAAUAC